GAUCAUGGCUCAGGAUGAACGCUGGCGGCGUGCUUAAUACAUGCAAGUCGAACGAAGCUACUUUGACAGGUCCCCGUCGGGGUGAAGAUGAUUGUGACUUAGUGGCGGGACGGGUGAGUAACGCGUGGGGAACCUGCCUCGUGCGUGGGGGAUAACAGUUAGAAAUGACUGCUAAUACCGCAUAAGCGCACAGUAAGGCAUCUUACAGUGUAGAAAAGAUUUAUCGGCAUGAGAUCGGACCCGCGUCUGAUUAGGUAGUUGGCGGGGUAACGGCCCACCAAGCCCGCGAUCAGUAGCCGACUUGAGAGAGUGAUCGGCCACAGUUGGGACUGAGACACCGGCCCAGACUCCGUACGGGAGGCAGCAGGUAGGGAAUAUUGCACAAUGGGGGAAACCCUGAUGCAGCGACGCCGCGUGAGUGAUGAAGUAUUUCGGUACGUAAAACUCUAUCAGCAGGGAAGAUAAUGACGGUACCUGACUAAGAAGCCCCGGCUAACUACGUGCCAGCCGCGGC
rnacentral:rRNA from 1 species